rnacentral:rRNA from 1 species
AAACCAACAGGGAUUGCCUCAGUAACGGCGAGUGAAGCGGCAAAAGCUCAAAUUUGAAAUCCCCCCGGGGAGUUGUAAUUUGAAGAUUGCGUCUUGGAGGCGACCGUGUCUAUGUUCCUUGGAACAGGACGUCACAGAGGGUGAGAAUCCCGUGCGGCACGGCCCCCGGCUCCUUAUAAGGCGCUCUCGACGAGUCGAGUUGUUUGGGAAUGCAGCUCAAAGUGGGUGGUAAAUUCCAUCUAAAGCUAAAUACGGGCGAGAGACCGAUAGCGAACAAGUACGGUGAUGGAAAGAUGAAAAGCACUUUGAAAAGAGAGUGAAACAGCACGUGAAAUUGUUGAAAGGGAAGGGCAUGCCGUCAGAUUGUCAGUGUGGGUAAGAAGCGGGGUACAAAGACUGUGGAACGUGGCCCUCGGGUGUUAUAGCCGCAGUUCAUGCCCCGUCUCUUUCCGAGGCCUGCUUUGAGGACACCGACGUAAUGACGGUACGCCGC